GACGAACGCUGGCGGCGUGCUUAACACAUGCAAGUCGAACGGAACGGCCCCCUUGUGGGGUGCUCGAGUGGCGAACGGGUGAGUAACUCGUGAGUAACCUACCCUUGCCUUUGGGAUAACUUCAUGAAACUGGGGCUAAUACCGGAUAGGAGCUCCUGCUGCAUGGUGGGGGUUGGAAAGUUUCGGCGGUUGGGGAUGGGGUGGCGGCUUAUCAGCUUGUUGGUAGGGUAGUGGCAUACCAUGGCGUUGACGGGUAGCUGGUCUGAGAGGAUGACCAGCCACACUGGGACUGAGACACGGCCCAGACUGGGAGGGGAGGGAGGAGUGGGGAAUAUUGGACAAUGGGCGAAAGCCUGAUACAGCAAUGCCGGGUGGGUGAUGAAGGGGUUAGGGUUGUAAAGCCCUUUUAACCGGGAUGAUAAUGACGGUACCGGGAGAAUAAGCUCCGGCUAACUCCGUG
rnacentral:rRNA from 1 species